CCUACGGGAGGCAGCAGUGAGGAAUAUUGGUCAAUGGACGGAAGUCUGAACCAGCCAUGCCGCGUGCAUGAAGAAGGUUCUAUGAGUUUUAAACUGUUUUUGUACAAGGGUAAACCUGAAUACGUGUAUGCAGCUGAAAGUACUGUACCAAUAAGGAUCGGCUAACUCCGUGCCAGCAGCCGCGGUAAUAUGUAGGAUACAAGCGUUAUCCGGAUUUAUUGGGUUUAAAGGGUGCGUAGGCGGAUUGAUAAGUUAGAGGUGAAAUGUCCGGGCUUAACUCGGGAACUGCCUCUAAUACGGUUGGUCUAGAGAGUAGAAGAGGUAGGCGGAAUGUAGGGUGUAGCGGUGAAAUGCUUAGAGAUCA
rnacentral:rRNA from 1 species